rnacentral:rRNA from 1 species
UACAGAGGGUGCAAGCGUUGUCCGGAUUUAUUGGGCGUAAAGAGCUCGUAGGCGGCUUAGCAAGUCGGGUGUGAAAACUCCAGGCUCAACCUGGAGACGCCACUCGAGACUGCUAUGGCUAGAGUCCGGUAGGGGACCACGGAAUUCCUGGUGUAGCGGUGAAAUGCGCAGAUAUCAGGAGGAACACCGGUGGCGAAGGCGGUGGUCUGGGCCGGCACUGACGCUGAGGAGCGAAAGCGUGGGGAGCGAACAGG